rnacentral:rRNA from 1 species
UACGGGGGGAGCAAGCGUUGUUCGGAUUUACUGGGCGUAAAGGGCGCGUAGGCGGCCACUGCAAGUCGGUUGUGAAAUCUCCGGGCUUAACCCGGAAAGGUCAAUCGAUACUGCAGGGCUAGAGUGCAGAAGGGGCAACUGGAAUUCUCGGUGUAGCGGUGAAAUGCGUAGAUAUCGAGAGGAACACCGGUGGCGAAGGCGGCUUCCUGGACCGACACUGACGCUGAGGCGCGAAAGCUAGGGGAGCAAACGGG